CCUCUAGUCGUGACUCUUGAUGGAGAUCUACUUAUUUCCAAGGCAUUUAUGAAUAGAGGAGAGAACGCAAAAAAAACAAAAACAAAAACAAAAAAAAACCUUGCAGAUUUGUCCUGAAGUGAAGUGUCAAAUUCAAUGUAUGUUGAACUGUCUUUUUAGGAACACAAAGAAGAUGAAGCAACCAGCAAAAGAAACUCUAGUCCUUCAGAUGCUGAGUAUUACAAGGAAAAAAUUUUGACUACAAGCAUUUUGUUACCUUGUUUUCACUGAAGUUCAGAGGAAGGUUUUGGAGGAGUUCAUACUUCAAAUAGAAAUUAUUUAGUACAAGAAACAAGACAAAUUAUAUUUUGCCUAAGGAACCUAUGGAGGAGGAAGUGGAAGCAAGAACAGAGAGAGGCAAGCAGACUCGCCACAGUUCAAAAGCCUUUGAUCAUCUGUUCAACAUUCUAUUUAACAACAUUCAACAUAUCAUAGAAUCAUAGAAUGGCCUGGGUUGAAGAGGACAACAGUGAUCAUCUAGUUUCAACCCCCCUGCUUUGUGUAGGCUAGCCAACUGCCCAGAGUCACAUCCAGCCUGGCCUUGAAUGCCUCCAGGGAUGGGGCA
ensembl:lncRNA